rnacentral:ncRNA from 1 species
AAACUGAAGAGUUUGAUCAUGGCUCAGAUUGAACGCUGGCGGCAGGCUUAACACAUGCAAGUCGAACGAUGAUUAUCUAGCUUGCUAGAUAUGAUUAGUGGCGGACGGGUGAGUAACAUUUAGGAAUCUGCCUAGUAGUGGGGGAUAGCUCGGGGAAACUCGAAUUAAUACCGCAUACGACCUACGGGUGAAAGGGGGCGCAAGCUCUUGCUAUUAGAUGAGCCUAAAUCAGAUUAGCUAGUUGGUGGGGUAAAGGCCUACCAAGGCGACGAUCUGUAACUGGUCUGAGAGGAUGAUCAGUCACACCGGAACUGAGACACGGUCCGGACUCCUACGGGAGGCAGCAGUGGGGAAUAUUGGACAAUGGGGGCAACCCUGAUCCAGCCAUGCCGCGUGUGUGAAGAAGGCCUUUUGGUUGUAAAGCACUUUAAGCAGGGAGGAGAGGCUAAUGGUUAAUACCCAUUAGAUUAGACGUUACCUGCAGAAUAAGCACCGGCUAACUCUGUGCCAGCAGCCGCGGUAAUACAGAGGGUG